GCCAGUUCGUUACAACCGUACAUGUGAUCCCGUUCUGAAACUGCUACCUACCUGCCCUCCUGCUGUGAUCUGCUUGCCUGCUGCUAGCUACUCUGCUCGCAGCACUCUCUCAAACUGACCUCCUUGUCUCUGCUAAUGCUCCUGCCCCCCGGGAACCCCCAGUUACCUCGCCUGAACCCUUCGCCGGGGAGUUGAACAAGUGCCGUGGUUUCCUGCUUCAGUGCCGCCUGGUUUUCCAACAGAAACCCCUAUCAUUCUCCACUGAAUCCUCUAAGAAUUGUGUUUGACCAUCCGGACCAUGCCGGUAAUGCCUCCAAGAGACUCCUGAAGCUGAGGAAGGGCACGGGCAGUGUGGCCGAAUAUUCAAUUGAAUUCUGGACGUUAG